UACGAAGGGGGCUAGCGUUGCUCGGAAUGACUGGGCGUAAAGGGCGCGUAGGCGGUUCGUACAGUCAGACGUGAAAUUCCCGGGCUCAACCUGGGGGCUGCGUUUGAUACGUGCGGGCUUGAGUUCGGAAGAGGGUCGUGGAAUUCCCAGUGUAGAGGUGAAAUUCGUAGAUAUUGGGAAGAACACCGGUGGCGAAGGCGGCGACCUGGUCCGAUACUGACGCUGAGGCACGAAGGUCAGGGGAGCAAACGGG
rnacentral:rRNA from 1 species